AUGGGCCAGUCGGGGCAGGACUACUCAUCACUCAUAGUGUGGGUGUCAGGGUUGUGUCACCCCUCCCACCUCCCUCUGCAGAGACGCAAAGUCAAGAGUAGGAAGAAGCCAACCUCUGAGGUCACGACCCCCAGGAGACCUGGAGGACUGAAUGCUGCUGCCCCCAAGGAGGAGGCUGCUGUCUUAUCCCAGGAGGGAGAGCAGGAAAAUAAAAAGGUUCAAAAGGAAGUUGCUGCGUAUCCAUCUGAGGCCUCUGAGGACAGCAAAGAGCAAAGGCCCUGGGACCGGGUCUACGUGCCCAUGACAGAGCUCUGGCUGGACUGGUUCUGAGCCUCUAACACCCCCAAGACUCAGAACCGUGAAGAAAAUCUUUCCAAUAAAUCCAAGAGUUGCUGCUGCUAUA